UUCAUGUCCUGUCUAUCGGUCUUAAACUCCAGGAUCGCAAUUUCCUCCGCGAUUGCCACCGUCAGAUGGGCAGGAAGGGGAACAGCACCACUCUGAGAAGCAACUACUACCCUCCUCUUACUGGACCCGUGAAGCCAGGUCAAGUUCGUUAUGAGAACACUCCGAUUUUGGGACAGUGACACUGUUGUUCCAAGACGACAUUGGAGGCUUAGAGGUGAUGAACACUGAUGACGUGUAUGUUCCUGUCAAUCCUGUCCCCGGCGCCAUCGUGGUCAACAUCGGUGACAUGAUGCAGCGAUGGACUGCAGAUAACAUUAGAGCCGCAAAACACCGAGUCCUGAUUCCUGAAUCGGAAGUGAAGAAACGUCAGUACCGACAGUCGCUUGCAUUUUUUGUCAACCCUGAUGAUGACACCAUCAUUAAAAGUCUGGAUGGUUCCGACAAAUACGAAUCCAUCUCAAGCUUGGAUUAUCUGGAGCACAAGUUCCGUCAGAUUUUUUAGUUUAAAAAAAGAAACUUAGCAAAUAUGUACAUGAUGAUUUCCUCUAAAGAACACUAGCCCUUGACUUUCCAAACUUUGUGUUAUUUCAGUACAAAAUUUGCUGAAUGAAAUGAAUUGCCCCACUCCUUCUACACAGUCUUGUUCCUCGUUGAGGAAAAAACUGACAUCAUUAUUUGAAAGCAUUUCUGCUUGAAUUGAUCAAUGACCCAAUCUUGCAACAUAAGGUUUUCCUGUGCAAACAUAAUUUUUAAGUUUAACACUCGAUUCUCAGUAUUUGCACUAUUUUGUAUUGAAUUCAUAAUUGUUACGAGUCGAUUUUCAAUUUUUUCAAUAAGCUGACAAAAUAUCUGUUCGUAAUUUUGAGUGAUACCAAAAAUGUUGGUUGCUGUUUGGAUGUUCAUGUUCACUGAAAACAGAAUUGUUUUCUUACAUAGUUUGAACUAAACCAGUCCCCUGUGUUUAUGUGUUUAAACCAAACCGGAAGUAGUGCCCAUGUCGGUAUUAAGGUUGCAGUAUUUUUCAGCCAUUUAAUGGGACUAUGUGUAUAGGCGAAGCACUGGCCGCUAUCAUAUUCUUUCAGUCCGAGGGUUCAGAUAUGCACAACGAACUAAAUAAAGCGCCCCCUGUAUGUUUGUUUGAUAGGUUUUCAACACGCUCAUAAAACGUCUCGUGGUGACCACGAUGGAAAAACAUGUUUGACAUGUAUGAACUUUUGACUCAUAAACAACGACAAAAUGAUUGGAAUCUGUGUUGAGUUCAUGAUUCCAAUUGCUCUUUUUUUUAAAAAACAACAUUGAUUUUUCAUACAUAACUAUGUCUGAACAGGUAUGGCCCUGGAAUGUUUAAGGUUGAAUUUUUUGGUAAGUGUGAACAUUCAAAAUGUCUUUUUGCAUGUCUUACCCGAUUCAAGAUCAAUACCGAGUCUAGCCGAGACUGUAUGACAGCCAGCACUCUCCUCCUCAUACCCUCUAUCAGCCUCCUGAUCCUCCGAAGGGGUAGUCCACGCCAUUCCUCAUGUAAAGCAGCUUCCAAUUGGGCCAGGUUCUGUACAGGAGGAUCCCCUUGUUGCACACGACGACCAGCCAUGUCCCAAACAUGCUCCAAUGGGUUAAGACCGGGGCUCAUUCAGUCGUGAGAUACGUCAGUGGGUGCUUAACUACGUUCUUUGUGUAUGUAUUGUCGUCAGUACCGUGUUCCAUAGACUUCGAUAAACUGUAUUCUGAAGACACAAUCUCUUCGCUCAUAUACUAAAAGGUGCACAAACCCGGACUCUCGCUAACCUUAGUGAGAGAGUAUGGUUUUACGACGCUUCUUUUGUAGCAAUAUCACGGCUUGAGACACCAGAAAUGGGUUUUACACGUGUGGGGAAUCGAACCCGGGUCUUCGGCGUGACGAGCGAACGUUGUAUCCACUAGGCUACCCCCACCACACAAGCUAUCCCUAGUGGGGUUUUGUGCUGACGUAGUUGGCGUAAAGAGACGCCUGUUAGGUCAUAACUUUGAGGCAUUAUCGGUAGACAUUUCUGAACACUGAUUACCCGUCCUGGAACACAUCUUGUUUGAAGUCGUUUUUGUCUUGGAAAAGCAGAUUUACAUUGUGCCAGAAAGUGUAGACAUUUCUUAUGGUUUACCUUGUCUUGAAACUACAGCUACUACAUGAAAUGGAUAUUAUAAUAAAUAUUGUGUAAUCGCU
rnacentral:lncRNA from 1 species